rnacentral:rRNA from 1 species
AGAGUUUGAUCCUGGCUCAGGAUGAACGCUGGCGGCGUGCCUAAUACAUGCAAGUCGAGCGAAUGAAUUAAGAGCUUGCUCUUAUGAAGUUAGCGGCGGACGGGUGAGUAACACGUGGGUAACCUGCCCAUAAGACUGGGAUAACUCCGGGAAACCGGGGCUAAUACCGGAUAACAUUUUGAACCGCAUGGUUCGGAAUUGAAAGGCGGCUUCGGCUGUCACUUAUGGAUGGACCCGCGUCGCAUUAGCUAGUUGGUGAGGUAACGGCUCACCAAGGCAACGAUGCGUAGCCGACCUGAGAGGGUGAUCGGCCACACUGGGACUGAGACACGGCCCAGACUCCUACGGGAGGCAGCAGUAGGGAAUCUUCCGCAAUGGACGAAAGUCUGACGGAGCAACGCCGCGUGAGUGAUGAAGGCUUUCGGGUCGUAAAACUCUGUUGUUAGGGAAGAACAAGUGUUAGUUGAAUAAGCUGGCACCUUGACGGUACCUAACCAGAAAGCCACGGCUAACUACGUGCCAGCAGCCGCGGUAAUACGUAGGUGGCAAGCGUUAUCCGGAAUUAUUGGGCGUAAAGCGCGCGCAGGUGGUUUCUUAAGUCUGAUGUGAAAGCCCACGGCUCAACCGUGGAGGGUCAUUGGAAACUGGGAGACUUGAGUGCAGAAGAGGAAAGUGGAAUUCCAUGUGUAGCGGUGAAAUGCGUAGAGAUAUGGAGGAACACCAGUGGCGAAGGCGACUUUCUGGUCUGUAACUGACACUGAGGCGCGAAAGCGUGGGGAGCAAACAGGAUUAGAUACCCCCGUAGUCC